CGGCCCCGCCCAAUCCGAGGCGCGGCGGGCUCGGGACUCCAGGCCCCGAGGUACAACGGGCGGGGAUCCCCGCGUGGGCCGUGUCUGCGACGCGGCGGGCCCCAAGGUCAGAGCUGACUAAGAAGUAUUCAGAAGCCGAGUCAUGGAUCCACCUGCACGUAAAGAAAAAUCCAAAGUUAAAGAACCUGUCAGCAGAGUUGAGAAGGCCAAGCAGAAGUCAGCUCAGCAGGAGCUGAAGCAGAGACAAAGAGCAGAGAUCUAUGCUCUCAACAGAGUCAUGACAGAGCUGGAGCAGCAGCAGUUCGAUGAGUUCUGCAAGCAGAUGCAGCCUCCUGGAGAGUGAGCCGCCCCUGCGUCCACCGAGAUGGGGCCCUGGAGGCUUCGUUUGUGAGCCUCUUACCAGUUUUAAGCUGAGAUGGCCCAUUUGGAGCCUUACAGAACUAGACAAGAAGACAUUUGUGUUAUUCCUAAAACUGGAUCCAUCUGAACUGCCUAUGUCACUUCUGCCUCACUGGUUUCUCCAGUCUGAAUUGGCCCAAUGCUUGCUGAAGAGACUUGUUUAUUCUUCUAAGACAAUAGAUCCUUGUGGUUUUUUUUUUAACCUUUUUCUAUUGUUUGAGAAAAAUCAGUGUUUCUUGUGAAACUAAAUCUUCUCCAAAAAUACAAAUAAAAUUCUAAUAAAAUGUUCAUUUGCUCAUACGUUAGUUUGGGGGUGCCUAGCCGUAGAAAGUGCCGUCAAAGAGACUGUACGGGGUAAGAAGAGUUGAGGUGAGCAGAGGGCACCCUUUCUCCCUCGGGAGGGGAGUGGACAGGAGAGGAGAGGAGAGAAAGACCGUGACUGCUUCCAGUUCUCAUUCUUCCUGGAGACCUCACAGACCCUAAGUUUUUGGCCACACAGCUAUUCCUCGGGAGUGGGGGAAGAAGGAUGCCAUGAAGUGGGAUAUGUGUGGAGAUGAGGCAGAUCAUCAGUCACAGCAAAAGAGCCAAACGCUGCCACCUCCUUCGCUCUCCGCGCUGGAAAUGCCUGCGUUUUCCCUGCCGGUGCUGGGACGUCUUAAGUGGUCCCCCGCUCCUCUUUGUCUCCCUGCUGCCUCUGAAGUCGCUGAGAAUUCUGUUCCCAUUGCUGUGGCUUGUUUUAGGAGUAAACUGGGGCGUUAAUGGGGUGUAAGAAACUUGCUACCACUGCAGGGGAAUGUGUUUUGGGGAGAGCCCAAAAAUAAGGAUAAUCUCUACAUAAAUUAUCCCCACAAAUGGUAAUUCA